GGGUGGAGUGUUCCUUUAACUCGAGUUGUGAUUCAAAGACUGCUGUUCGUCAGCAGCAGAAUCCAUCUUCUUUGUUUUCAAGUAACAGGGAAUUCACGCAGAACAGCGCAA